ACGUGCCCAGCUGUUUUCUGCGCUUAAUUAACCAAGUCUGCAUGAUCUGAUUAACCCAGAUGUUAGAACAUUGAUCCCAGAGAAAGAAGAAACCAUCUGUGGAAUUUACCCCUGGAUGGACCUCUCAGUUGCUUGAUCUGAUGUCCUGAGAAUCCCAGAAUCCAAGGAGAACCCAGCAGCUUUUCACUGAGCAAGGAACUGAUCACGCUAAAGUGUGAGUAUGGCUUGUGUCUCCAAAGGACAUGUAUCUUUUUAAAAGGUGCUUGUUAAGCUACAAGAAUUCUUAACGGGUAGAGUGAAUGUGUGUGUGUGUGUGUGUGUGUGUGUGUGAGUGACAGAGAGAGAGAGAGAGAGAGAGAGAGAGAGGGAGAGAGGGAAAGGAGGAGAUGCUUUGAGAUACUCCUUGAUCACCUUUCUAAGUAUAAUCAUCCCCCUCUUGAAAAAUCUGCCAAGGAUCGAAAACCACAGAAUCACAGUGAUAGGCACACAGGGACCUUAAUAAAUGUUAGGUUUUUACUGAAGAGCUAUCACUUACUGAAUAUUCACCUGGUACUUUCCUAUGCUUUUUCUAGUCCUCACCUGUAAGGUAAAUAUUUGUUAUCCUCAUACAUAGAUGAAGAAAAUGAAUUACAGAGAAGUUAAGAAAUGUAUUCAAGAUCACAUAACCAGCAUUCAAAUCCAGGUCUGCUUAAUUCCACACUUUCUCUUUCCACUGACACAAUUCUACAUUUAUGGAUGCUUGAACUCAUCUCUGCAACCCCAAAGAUUAUGUGCUAUUACCCACUGCCAUUUCCCCUUAACUCUCACCUUUGCCAGUUAAACAAAGACUCACAGCUUAGGAACCAACCUAGGGCAUUUGAAAGGAAGGUCACUUCCUUGCUCUUUUAUUACUUUAAAACAGUCCUUAUAUUCUUUUCAAUGUAAUAUUCCUUUUGCUCAGCCUAGGUCACCGUUGUAAUUCUUGAGAAAGAUCUAAUAUUCUACUUUAGAAAAAUACACACAUAUUUCUACAUUGAGAAUCUAUGGGAAACCCCCAUAGACUGUUGAUUCUGUGGUUCUUUUGUUUGUUUGUUUUAAUUAUGAGGCACACUGCUUUGGGCUGUCUUUUUAAAUAUAAAUGUGCUUCAGUGAUUGAACAUACUACAAAACUUUUCACAGAAUUAUCAUUUAAUCUGAAACAUCUGUAAUAGAAUUUUCUUUUUAGUAACUUGAGCUUGUUCUUGAAUGAUCAGGUGUUUUUCUCCUAGAUUUUGUGUUAUAACUUAGUCUUUCUAGAUCAGUCAUUACACUUUCGAGUUAUUUGGGGUUCUCAUUCCCUAUUAAUUAAAAUCCAAAUUCCCUGGCAUUCAAGGCUUCCAAGACAUGGCUUUACAAGCUUUAUUUCUCCUUUAAUUCAGAGUUUUUGAUUUGUCUAUCACUGAUAUCCUAAAAUUAAGAAGUCACAUUCUGUUUUAUAAUGUUAUUAACAAUUUAAAAAGAAGAUUACUCUUAAAGUAAGUUUCUGUAAACCUCUUUCAGUUUUUUGAGAUAAUCCAUGCAUAGAUAAGAAAAUGAUUAAUUUUUAAACACAUCUUAACGAGGAAAAGGUCUUAAAGUGUUCAAAAAUAAUGUAUGAUGACAAUUAGUUUUAUUAUACUUGGUUUGGAAAAUCAUCUUUACAAAAUAAAUAGCUAGCACUCUGAUUAUAAAUAUCUAGUGAAAAUAGCAAUAAUUUAUUUAGAGAGAAUGUGCUAACCUUAGAUUGUACAAAGAUGCCUAUGUGACCUCCACAGGCAAAGUUAGUGGUCAACAGGGAGGGCUAUUCAGCGAAUUCAGGCAAAAUGGUGAAAGGGAAAAGGUAAAGGUCUUUUUUUUUUUUUCUUUUUUAAAGGAACUUGCUGUACUCACUUACUAUCUAAAUUCCUGUGAUUAAAAAUACUUACUUGCAACUGUCACAGAACAAUACAAAGCUCCUACCAAAUAAAUAAUUUUAUCAACAAAAUGUGUGUGGGGAUGUUCCUGUUUGUAUGAAUCUCUGUACAGUACAGGAUCAUUUUAUUAAAAAUAUUACAAUAAAAUAUAUAAUUUUAGGAACUGGUCAAUACCCAUGCAUUUUCAAACUGUAGUACUUGGCAAACUAAAAGUAUAUAGUUAAUAAGAAAAUUUUGAAAGUACAUUGUAAUUUGUAUUAAUAGUAUAGGAUUUAUAAUAAAAUAUGCAGACCAUUCAUCUUAAUCAUUUGAGGUUCUAAUGUGAUUGAUUUAAGUGUCCUAUUUAAAUUUAAGAAUUUACAUUUAUUUCAGCAGAUCUCAGAUAGUUCAUAGAAAAAAGCAUAUGUCUUCACUCCUUUUAAUAUUUGAAUUAUAAUUUUUCAAAUCAGAUUUCUCACUUAAUUUGUUUAUAGAGCUCUACAUUUGGAUAAAACAAUAUUAAUGCUUUUGCACAUAAAAUGAAUUCUUAAUACUAACCAGUACAUAUAUUGUAAUCUCCUUUUAAGAUUUAGUUGACUUUUUCAUCUUCCUUUUAAGUUAUAGAAGACGUUAGAUAAAAAUUAGGUCCCUUCAAAUAUACAUGGCCCUAGCUCUAACCACCAAUAUGAUAGAAUAUUAGAGACAUUAGAGCUUGCCAAAACUAGAGUUAUUGAUCCUGUGACCUGGAACAUUUUUUUAUUACUUUUAUUGUCACUUUUCUCCUCCUGAAGCUUCCUUUUUAAAGGGAGAGUAUUCAGAGGAAGGUCUGCUCUUGGGAUCUGGUGAGGUUGCUGGUGCCAGAGGAGCAAUUAUCCCCUCAAUUAGAUACAGAUUUGGCUCUGGAAGAGAACUGAGAAGGGGGACAAUGUUCAUAUCUUUGUACCUAGAAGGAGUGUGUCUGAAAUCUUAUGAUGCAUGUUUUAAAAGUACAAAGAAACGUGAUAGAAAAUUGCAUGUAGAUAUACUGCAUGUUAUUUAUUAUAAUUUUCAGAUGUAUAUUUUCCCACAUUUCAACAUCUCUUGAAACUUGGAGGCAUCUAACCAUUUAGCAAUUAUAAUUGGAUUGGCAGUACUUUUCUUUCUUAAUAGUACAUAAAAUAACGGUGCAUCAUUCAGUUUAUGGUGUCUUCCAUUCAGUUAGAUAUAAAUAUGGGUAGAUGGAAAUAUUCCAGGUGGGGAUAUAAUUAAAAGAGACAACCUGACCCCUUAAGUAUUUUAUGAGUUUGUCUGUAGUCUAGUCUUUUGUGACUCGUUCAAUAACAAAUUUUCAAGUGACUAUUAUUCUAAGAUGGUAGAGAUAAUGAACAAAGACCCUAUCCUCACAGAGCAUACAGGGAGCUGGGAAAACAGACAAUUAGAUGUUUAAUUUUAAUAUGUGGUAUGUAGAAGCAAAAGUGCUAAGGGCCUACAAAUCUCUGGGGGAGGGGUUCCAAUCUACUCCAGUGGGUUCUUGGAAAUCACAUUCAUAUGGGGACUUGAGGACCAGUAGCAGUGUAACUGCUUAUGCAAAAGCCUGGAGACUGCAGAGGAGCUGGCACAUUAGAGGAGCUGAAAGAAGGUUAAUAAUCAUGAGGAUGAGAAUAUAUUCAGCUCAUUUACAUCUGUUGAUACUCUACUGUACUUGCUUUGAGAGCGAAUACAAUUCACCAGUCACAGACCACUCUGAAUAGGCAACGUAUUCUGACUUUAGCAUUGUGACAACAGUUCCAAAUAUCUUUCAUCUCAAUUUCCUAACAUGAAUUCAGAUACACUAUUUUGUAUUUCAUACCACAGAAGAGUAGUGUAGGUAAAGAAUAGCAUUUUGAUGCCUAAUUUUCUGAAUAUAUUUAAAACAUGAGCUCCUUUAUUUUAUGAAAUACUUAAGGGGCAUAUUAAAAUUCAGCAAGUUCUAAUCCAGUGGGAAGUUUGUUGGGUUUAGGUGUUGGAACACAGGUAGAAGAACAUCCAUCUAAGGAAGUAAGAUCUACAGUUAUAAGUGGUGGUCCAAGAGCCCAUGCAUCAAAAUAGCAUCAUGACAGCAGGGAAGAAAAAUAGGCAAACUAGUUCGGCAUAUAUAUUUUAUUGCUACUGUCACUGUCUAUUUAUUAAACAAACAAAAGUCCUAUGAAUUUAUCGCUGGCUUUACAGACAUCAUAUAUUGACUUAAAUAUUUUCACUGUCUUCCAUUGUGUGUCAUUGGAGGUCAUUUCUUUGUUAUGGGUAGGUGGCUGACUUCCUUCCAUAUCCAGCCAUUAGCUCACUUCUUUUAGAAUAGGAAAUCUUGCCUGUGAAAAAAGUCACAAAAGAAGACUCCUGCUUUCAGGCUAACUAAAAUGUUUCUAGGGAGGAAAGAUAUGUAACUCAAUUAGGGAUAAUUCUAUAUUUGUAUUCUUAAUAACCAGAGAUAGUAGUCUUAUUUGAGUUACAAUUAAUGUAGGGAGGGACAUCAUCUAAUUUCACUAUAUACCUAAAAGUCAUGGAAAUAACAGACUCACUUCACGAUUAAUUAGAUCUUUAUCAAAGUCUUUUAGACAAUUAUGCUUGGAUUUAACAUUUAGGGGGCUGAGCAAGAGAGAAAUGGACGUACAUUUAGACAGCCUGGUAUAUUAUUUCAGAGCAUGAGAGAUCUGAACAGGCUUUGCAGUUUAUUAAUUGGGUGACUUUGGUCAAAUUAGCCUCUUAGUAUUUUGGUUUGUUCAUCUCUAAAAUAUGGAUAAUAGUUCCAGAAUUUUCCCUUUUUUGAGAUUAAAAUGUAAUAUGUGCAAAAUUCUUGGCACAGGGCCUCUUACCUAAUACAUUCUCAGAAAAUAUGUGCCUUUCAGCAAUAAGUUGUGCUAGUAUUUCUCUGUUAUUGUUUGUCUUGACCCUUGUCCCCUGAGAGUUUGAAUUCUGCCAUUUGGACAUGGCCAAUGGGAUGGCCAGGCAAGGCAUUAGGGGGUAGAAGGAAAAGCAGGGGUAUUCAUUUCCCCUGCUUUCUCCCUGCUAUGCUUCAACUUUGGCACUAGCUGCAUUCUUCUUAUGGCCACAGCUCCUGUCCAGUGGUCCCCCUCCCAUAGCCAGAGUUCACAGUCAAGCUGACACUGCUGCCUUCUCAGGCCGAGGAACGGCAAUGGCUUUUCUUCUCAUGUUGCUUCAGGGGACACGGGUUCGAGCCCUGGUCCAG